UACGGAGGGUGCAAGCGUUGUCCGGAUUUAUUGGGUUUAAAGGGUGCGUAGGCGGGCCUUUAAGUCAGUGGUGAAAGCCGACAGCUUAACUGUCGAAAUGCCAUUGAUACUGGAGGCCUUGAGUACAGUAGAGGUAGGCGGAAUUAAUGGUGUAGCGGUGAAAUGCAUAGAUACCAUUAAGAACACCGAUUGCGAAGGCAGCUUACUAUAGUGUAACUGACGCUGAGGCACGAAAGUGUGGGGAUCAAACAGG
rnacentral:rRNA from 1 species